rnacentral:rRNA from 1 species
GGAUGCGAUCAUACCAGCACUAAAGCACCGGAUCCCAUCAGAACUCCGUAGUUAAGCGUGCUUGGGCGAGAGUAGUACUAGGAUGGGUGACCUCCUGGGAAGUCCUUGUGUUGCAUUCC